rnacentral:rRNA from 1 species
UAGGGAAUCUUCCACAAUGGGCGCAAGCCUGAUGGAGCAACACCGCGUGAGUGAAGAAGGGUUUCGGCUCGUAAAGCUCUGUUGUUGAAGAAGAACGUGCGUGAGAGUAACUGUUCACGCAGUGACGGUAUCCAACCAGAAAGUCACGGCUAACUACGUGCCAGCAGCCGCGGUAAUACGUAGGUGGCAAGCGUUAUCCGGAUUUAUUGGGUUUAAAGGGUGCGCAGGCGGCGCGCCAAGUCAGCGGUCAAAGUUCCGGGCUCAACCCGGUGUCGCCGUUGAAACUGGCGUGCUCGAGUGCGUGCGAGGAAGGCGGAAUGCGUUGUGUAGCGGUGAAAUGCAUAGAUAUGACGCAGAACUCCGAUUGCGAAGGCAGCUUUCCAGCGCGCUACUGACGCUGAGGCACGAAAGCG